UUUUUUCUUUCUUUUUCCUUUUAUAAUAGUAUAGUAGUAGUAGCUUAAUAAAGUUUUUUUUCUUUGUCAUUAAGCUUGGGCCUGCUUUUCUCUGUUCACAAUCACAUUUCACAGCAAUCGAGAGAUUGCAUUUUCAUGGGGGCGCUGGCAUUGUGCCAGUGUCAAACCAUGACACUAAGAAUUUAAGUAUCAGUUGGAACCAAAUUUUAAACCAAAUUUUGAAUUUUUUUUAAAGAAAAAAAAUAUAGUCCAGCUCAUUUUUCCCAGCUUGCUAAAUGCAAUCACUAGGGAAAUAAGUAAGAGGAAGCAGGUAUUGUACCUGAGCUUUUUAAAAGAAUAACAGUCAUUACAACAGGAACCAUUAUAGUGUUGCUUAGCCAUCUCAGCCUUUUGUUUGCCUCCAUACUUUCUGCAGAUCCUCAAUUAUAAUUGAUAAAGGCUGAGAAGUUCAGAGAAAAUUGGCACCCAAGGAAACUGCUGUCCAGUUAGCUGUACUUUCCUCUUCCUAGGACUGCUUUGGCUGUGCUGCUGAAAUAAGGGUACACCAGCACAGCAUGGAUCCUACUGAAAGGCCAGUUUCCCAUUCCCAGUUCCCAUCCCCACCCCAUCUCUAUAGCACACAAGCAGAAGCUACGGAUUUUGGCAUAUUUAAGCUGUCCCCUUGUAUGUUCAGCUCUCUUGCCAUCACACAUUAAUCUGGACUCUGACUUCUUAGUCAGUUCUGGCUAAUCAGGGAGGUCUGGGGAUGUCAGAGAUGACUGGAAGUUGGCCAGUGUGAUGUCCAUCCACACAAAGGGCUGGAACUCGGAUCCAGGCAACUAUAGCCUGUCAGCAUGACCUCAGCACCCAGCAAGAUUAUGCAACAGAUCAUCUUAGAUACGAUCACUGGCACACCCAGAAUAACCAAUGGGUCAGGGCCGCCCAGAAUAGGUUUAGGAAAGGCAGGUCCCACAUGACCAAACUGAUCUCCAUUUACGACCAGCUGACCUGCCUAAUGGAUGAGGGAAAGGCUGUGGAUGUAGCCUACUUGGACUUCAGCAAAUCUUUCAUUCUGUCUCCCACAGUAUUCUCCUGGAAAAGCUGGCAGCCCAUGGAGUGGACAGGUACACACCUUCCUGGAUUGGCCAGGCCCAGAGAGUGGUGGGAAAUGGUGCCAGUAAUGGAGCCAGUUCUGUUUAAUAUAUUUUCUGACGAUCUGGAUGAGGAGGUUGAGUGCAUUCUCAGUAUAUUUACAGAUAUCAAGUUGUGUGUAAGUACGGAUCUGCUGGAGGGAAGGAUGGCUUUGCACAGGGAUCUGUACAAGCUGGAUCAUGGGCUGAGGGCAAUGGUGUGAGGUUCACCCAUGUGCUGGGUCCUGCCCUUGGGUCAUAACAGCCCCAAGACAAUGUCCCAGGCUGGGACAGAGCGGCUGGAAAGUGCCCAAUGGAAAAUGACAAGGGGGUGCUGAUGGACAGCAGCUGAACAUCAGUCAGGGUGUGCCCAGGUGGCCAAGAAGGCCAAUGGCAUCCUGGCCUGGAUCAGCAAUGGUGUGGCCAGGAGGGCCAGGCAGGGAUCAUCAGCACUGGUACUCAGCAUUGGUGGGGUUGCACCUCAAAUCCUAUUCUGGGCUUCUCAAUUCAGGAAGCACACAUGAGGUGCUGGAGCAGGUCCAGAGAAGGGCAACAGAGCUGAGGAAGGAUCUGGAGCACAAGUCCUGAAUGGCUGAAGAAGUUGGGGGUGAUUGUCAUAGAGAAAAGGAGCCUCAGGGGUGGCCUUAUCACUCCCUACGCCUGCCUGAAAGGAGAUUGCAGCCAGGUGGAGUCAGGCUCUUCUCCCAGUCAACCAGUGACAAGAAAAGAGCGCAGAGUCUCAAGCUGCACCAGGGGAGGUUUAGGCUGGACAUUAGAAAGAAUCUCAUCACUAAAAGGUUGCCAAAUAUUGAGAUGGACUACUCAGGAAAGUGGUGGAGUCAGCAUCCAUGAAAGUGUUCAAGAAGUGACUGGACCUGGCACUUUGUGCUAUGGUCUAGUUGACAAGGUGGUGAUCAUUCAAAAGGGUGGACUUAAAGACCUUGGAAGUCUUUUAGAAACUAAAUGAUUUGGUGAUCCUUGAAAUCGGAGAAGGAAGGGUUUUGACUGUUUCGGGUUUUUCUUUUUUUUAUUUAAAGCCAUUUAAAAAUCAUUCUACUAGCACUUAGCAUGUGGAAAAGCUCUUCUGAAAAUUUUAGUUUAUGUAAUUUCUGUUUCUUUGCUAUAGGUUAAAAUUUAGGUAAGCAAUGUCUUUUACUUUGAGACAAUAUCAUAUUGAAGAUUUUAUGUCCUUCAUGCAGAGUUUCUGCCCAAGAAUUACUGGGCCUGAUACUGCAAAAUAGUUCCUUGGUCCAAUGCAAGAAGUCUGAAGUGCAGUUAAAAGGGAGAAAGCCCAAGGAGAUGAAAAGGGGGACUUGUUCAUGUAGUAUGCUUAUCCACAAGAAGGCAGUGCCCUAAUGUUCCCUUUUAAAUCACGAGCCCAUUUCACUUUCUGUAUAUGUGUAUUCCUACACAUGCUGGUAGACCAAGCAAUGGCAUUUUGCACCUGAUAACUUCUAGACCAGUCUAUCCCAUUUUUGGUGGAGAAUGUCUGACUAGAAGAUGAUGAAGUUUUGAGGAAAUUUUUUAAAAUCAAUUAAUCACAAUUAAGGGAGUAAGUAUUUACACUAAAAAGAGAGAAUAAAUUAAGAAAGAUGUCCAAUAUUUUAAUAAAAUUCUUUUGUUUUAAUAUUAGGAAAAGAUAAUACUUUUAAAAUAGCAUUUACAAAGACUCGUGAGGGUAAUAUACUGCUUUUACUUUGAGUAUUCAUAAAUUUUGCAACUCAGAUCUAAAUAAGGUCACAACAAACCCAGAGAGACACUAAAUCUAGAGCUCCCUCUGAGGCAAGACUUUCUCUUUUUGACUUUAUGCAAAUACUAAGUCUGAAGAAAGGGGAGCCACUCUUAUUCCUCCAGUCUUCCAAGACCUCAAUAUUCUGAACCAUCUAAAUGACUGUAACACAUUUAAUUUUAAGAAGUUUCUUGCACAUUGUUAUUUUGCUUGUAACAGUGGUGCUUUUAUCCCUAGUGACUUAGUAGCGAGCUAAAUUGUCUCAACAGGUAUCUCAACACAAGGCUCCAUAUAAGGAACAAAUAAUUCAUUCCCAGGAUCUAUUUUCAAUAAAUGUAAACUGAAUGUGCUCAGUCCUAGAGGAAAUACAGAGCAGCAUUAAUUCAGACAGCUCUGGGACUAUGGCACAAACAAUGCCUUCCUCUUCAGUCCAUCUGAGAAUGACUUCAUACAUUAAGUAUUGAGCUACAGAAAAGCAGAGUAUACAGAAAUUAAUGUCAAGAGGAUUUAGCCCAGUUUUAGAUGUUUGUUUCUUUUGACUAUUCUAGAAAAUGGGCAAAGUAUGCUUAGUAUUUAAAGUAGAUUUUUCUAAAUGCUUUUAGAUUCUAGUUAGUCUCUAACUCCAGCUGUAGAAUCAACAUGGAAUUUAAUUAAAAUAAAAGUUGCUCUUUGAAAGGGCUCAUUUGGUGCUGCCAGUUUAUUUCCACUUCAACAAAGAAACUCUAAAGAGCUAGCAAUAUUUAUCCUAAAGUAUUUGAUAUAAAAGGCUAGCAAAACACAGAAGUUCUUUUUUUAGGUCUUAAAUUAAAAAUAGCCUCUGAACAUAAUGCAAGAAACUGUUUUAUGAAACAGUAAAACUAUAAAACAGUAGAAUUGUAAAACUGAGUACAGUGACCAACUAUACUACUUUCUUCACCAGCCAAUCUUAAAAUGGUAAUUUCAUCAACACUCAUACUUCUGUCUGCUUUUCCUGCAUUUAAAUUCCCAGUUUCACUACACUGCAAAGCAUGAUAACCUUUACAUACAGUAGGUUUUUUUAAGCUUUCACAUGAUGUUAGAAUACAUUUGUUAUCUGAAAAACCUAUAGCCUUCUUCCAAGAAAUGAAACCUCUUGUUAUAUAAAAAGGCACACAGAAACAAGUUUAAAAAGAUUCGGUUUAGCAUUGUAAAUCCAGUUGUUUCAGGAGGUCUAUCAUUCUUUCUUGUUUUGAUUAUUUUAGUCCUGUAUCCUCAAUUUUUCCUGCUUUUUUUUCCUCAUAGCUUUAGCUCCAAGAACCCUCCAGCCUCCAUUCCCAAGUCUCCUUCUCUGUCUUUGACCCCCUACCCUCUGAGAGUUUAGAAAUCUUUUAUGCAGUGCAUGAAUCCAGACCCUUGUCCAGCGUCAAUGCAGGAAUGCCCAGUCUCUUCUUUCCUGACAAGACUUAACCACUGGGAUGACUUAUGUUGGCCAGCAUUAUGUUGCCUGCCAUUGUUUUUAAACAUUUAGACCUUGGUGUGUUUCAUACAAAGACAACUGUGCAGGUGUAUGUGACCUUCCUUUUAGAUUAGAACAACUGGUGGAAUGCUCAAGCCUUUUAUACUUUACUGUAAUGAGCAAAACUGACUACAACCGGCCUAAUGCUCUGAAAAGAUUAUUAGGAAGGAAUUUCUGCAUAGUGGCCAAAGGUGUUUUUCCAAGCAGCUCACAGAAUAGCCUUUGAUUACAUGCAGGAAGUUAGCCAAGUUAAGCUUGCUGUUUUGCAGCCAUUCCUUCUUCUCGGCGUAGCUCUGGAAUAGAAACUUCCCAAAACGGUGACAUGGAAACAAGAAAUGCUCAGCUCCGUAAGGUCUUCCCUCGAGAAUAUCCACUGAAAGAAAGCUUAGAUAUGUCUUUAACACUUCCUGAUUUCUUCUCUGGAGUAAACACAUCUUCCCACUUGGUUUCAGAAAGUGGAGGGAACUUGGGGCAAACCUCACAGUACAAAAGUUCCACUUCAGAUGAAAAUUUGCAAGUUAUUCAAGUGCUACACCAGUGCAGCUGCAGCCAAAAGUGGAGCACAUUUGGUGCCUGUGGUGGCAUGACAAGAGCAAAGGUGCCUCUUCCUUCUGCUCACUAGCCCAGAAACUAAAAAGAUUCACCAGCAUUCUGUGUGUCUGUUAUUAUACACAGACUCAACAGGAAGUAGCUACUCCUGAGGAGGGGUAGACAGAUCAAAGAGGUGGAUCUGUGAGCUCUUCCACCUGCUUUUCUCUGGGAUUUCUUUAGUGAAUUUAAAAAUUUCUGCCCAGAUAUGUAAAGAAGAAAGACUAAGUUGAGAUAACUGACAUAUAGGUUAAUCUGCUUAUUAUGGAUGAUUUGUUGUUCUUUGUCACUCUUCUCACUCUUCUUGGUUUUUAUUGCAAAGUUUCUUGACUAUUGACAUGAAGAAUUCUUCCAGUGGCAUUAGUGUUAUUUUUAUUGCAGCAGGUGGCUAAGACCUGGUAAAGAACAGCCAUUACCCAAUUUGGAAGAGUAUUUUUACUGACUUGCUAGAUGCUUAUUUAAAACAGAAAUAGUGGUAGAACAGAGAAGAAAAAUUGCUUUGACAUGCGAACAGUUGUUACUUAUGAAUAAGUGAUGGAGUGAAAAAUAAUUUUCCUCUUCUUUCACACACAUGCAAUCAUGAAGUUCAUUUUUUUCCAUUUUCCUACUGUCUACAUAUUUAAUAUCUCUUCUUUCUGAAAUGCUGAGAUGAAAGCCAUAUUAAUAGUAAAAGAAAGUACUACAAGCUCCUCUCCAGUCUGCAGCAUUCGGACUCCCUAACACUUCCAAAAUUCUGUUGGAGUUAAAUUUAUAAAUCCAGCGGAACAUUUAUAAAGCAUGCCUAAAAUGAGAAAUGUGACAGUUAAUAUUCCAGCAAGCUAUCUAUGAAUUUAUGAAACUGGCUUCUCAAGAGUAACUAUUUUGUGAAGUCCAUAGCCAGAAACACAAGCAUCAGUUUAAACUCAUUUCUUACACAAAAGGUAGGUUUCAUGAUCCCAAAGGAAGAAAUUCCAAACUAUUAGGAUAUUAAAAAAAAAAAAAAAAAGAAAAGAAAAACACAAAAAAA
rnacentral:lncRNA from 1 species